AUUGAACGCUGGCGGCAGGCCUAACACAUGCAAGUCGAGCGGAUGAAGGGAGCUUGCUCCUGGAUUCAGCGGCGGACGGGUGAGUAAUGCCUAGGAAUCUGCCUGGUAGUGGGGGAUAACGUCCGGAAACGGGCGCUAAUACCGCAUACGUCCUGAGGGAGAAAGUGGGGGAUCUUCGGACCUCACGCUAUCAGAUGAGCCUAGGUCGGAUUAGCUAGUUGGUGGGGUAAAGGCCUACCAAGGCGACGAUCCGUAACUGGUCUGAGAGGAUGAUCAGUCACACUGGAACUGGGACACGGUCCAGACUCCUACGGGAGGCAGCAGUGGGGAAUAUUGGACAAUGGGCGAAAGCCUGAUCCAGCCAUGCCGCGUGUGUGAAGAAGGUCUUCGGAUUUUAAAGCACUUUAAGUUGGGAGGAAGGGCAGUAAGUUAAUACCUUGCUGUUUUGACGUUACCAACAGAAUAAGCACCGGCUAACUUCGUG
rnacentral:rRNA from 1 species